rnacentral:rRNA from 1 species
CCCUUAGAUGUUCUGGGCCGCACGCGUGCUACACUGACCGGCGCAACAAGUUUCUUUCCUUGGCUCGAUAGGCCUGGGUAAUCUUUGAACGCCGGUCGUGAUGGGGAUAGAUCCUUGCAAUUUUUGAUCUUCAACGAGGAAUUCCUAGUAAACGCAAGUCAUCAGCUUGCAUUGAUUACGUCCCUACCCUUUGUACACACCGCCCGUCGCACCUACCGAUUGAAUGGUCCGGUGAAAUCUCGGGACGGCGGCUUGGUCGCUUGCGUCCGACUGCUGAAACUUGAUUAAACCAUAUCAUUUAGAGGAAGGUGAAGUCGUAACA